AUUGAACGCUGGCGGCAGGCCUAACACAUGCAAGUCGAGCGGGGUUUUCGGACCUAGCGGCGGACGGGUGAGUAAUGCGUAGGAAGCUACCCGAUAGAGGGGGAUACCAGUUGGAAACGACUGUUAAUACCGCAUAAUGUCUACGGACCAAAGUGUGGGACCUUCGGGCCACAUGCUAUCGGAUGCGCCUACGUGGGAUUAGCUAGUUGGUGAGGUAAUGGCUCACCAAGGCGACGAUCUCUAGCUGGUUUGAGAGGAUGAUCAGCCACACUGGAACUGAGACACGGUCCAGACUCCUACGGGAGGCAGCAGUGGGGAAUAUUGGACAAUGGGCGCUAGCCUGAUCCAGCCAUGCCGCGUGUGUGAAGAAGGCCUUCGGGUUGUAAAGCACUUUCAGCGAGGAGGAAGGGGUGUGUGUUAAUAGUACACACCUUUGACGUUACUCGCAGAAGAAGCACCGGCUAACUCUGUGCCAGCCGCCGCCGUAAAAC
rnacentral:rRNA from 1 species